rnacentral:lncRNA from 1 species
GGGCCGGCUUGGGGCUUGGUUCUAUGUCCCUGCGGGUCGGUGCGAGGGCGAAGAGGAACCCGUGGGCCUCGGGGGAUCCCGGGGGGCCGGACCAGUGUCCCCUAGUUGUGGGAGCAGACGCGUGGGCGCAUCGCGGGCGGGCAGGGCCUGAAGUGCAGAAGUUUAUACGAGACCUAGUUUCCAAGGAAGAACUCACUGAUUCCGCGAGGGAGAAGGCAUAAUGGAUGAUGGUCUUCAGCCUUAAGGGUACUUCAGUCUUAACUGUGUGUUACAAAGUUUGAAAGAGAGGGUUCCCUAUGAAUAAGAAGCGCACUUGAAAGAACAGCUGUCUGGUCUAACCUCUCACUGGUGCUUCAGAGGAGGAAAACAGGUCACAGCUAUGUUUCCAGUGUCCUCUGGGUGUUUCCAAGAGCAACAGGAAACGAAUAAAUCUCUGUUGAAGAGAUA